GACGAACGCUGGCGGCGUGCUUAACACAUGCCAGUCGAACGGAAAGGCCCUGCUCUUGUUGGGUGCUCGAGUGGCGAACGGGUGAGUAACACGUGAGUAACCUGCCCUUGACUUUGGGAUAACUUCAGGAAACUGGGGCUAAUACCGGAUAGGAGCUCCUGCUGCAUGGUGGGGGAUGGAAAGUUUCGGCGGUGGGGGAUGGUCUCGCGGCUUAUCAGCUUGUUGGUGAGGUAGUGGCUUACCAAGGCUUUGACGGGUAGCCGGCCUGAGAGGGUGACCGGCGACAUUGGGACUGAGAUACGGCGCAGACGCCUACGGGAGGCAGCAGUGGGGAAUAUUGCAGAAUGGGCGGAAGCCUGAUGCAGCAAUGCCGCGUGCGGGAUGCCGGCCUUCGAGUUGUAAACCGCUUUCGCCUGUGAUGAAGCGUGAGUGACGGUAAUGGGUAAAGAAGCACCGGCUAACUACGUG
rnacentral:rRNA from 1 species